rnacentral:rRNA from 1 species
GGAUCAUUACAGAGAACAUCGCCC